ensembl:lincRNA
CCCUUCUGGAGUCUCCCUUCUGUGUGCUCGGACUUCAAGUCUGACAGGGCAUGUGGGUUCUGAGAUGAGCUUCUCACUUCCUGUAUCAGCAACUUGCUCCUCGUCCACCAUCCAGUCAAUACAGAGGCGUGAGAGCUGCCAAGCAGAGCAUGUAUGGACCCUAUGGAGAAAGGAUCCUCACCGGGAAGCACUUGUUCAGCUGAGCCAUGAUGGUAACUCAGGCUGGGGGAAGCGAAGGGAUGGCAAACGUCACAGAGCCGAUGAAUUGAGGAAAUAUUAGGAGACAGAAUCUGAAGAGGCUAACAAUCUUGGAGCAUUUCUUGACCUAUUGCCAUGUGCCAUCCAUGGACUCUCUUCUUCAACUCUCCAUCCACCUACCCUCUAAGAGUGUUCCUAUUCUUAUCUGAGCAGAAGCUGGGACAUCAAGCAGAACCAUCCAGCUUGUCAGUGCAGAGCUGAGACGCAAGCCCAGCACUCAAGUACCAAUCCUCUUAUCCUUCCCUCUUAAUCAUCGUGUCACACUUUUGAGGUUUCCGGCUUGGGCAGCUGAGAGAAUGAUGGCACCAUUUACUGCGGGACAGCACACAGGAAGAUUCAUGAAUGUGAGUGGGAAGAAAAGGCACGAGGGAGGGACAUUCAAAUGCAAAUGAGGAGCCAAGAGUGUAGAAUGCAUAAGACUGAUUUGGGGAGCAUCCGGCACUAGACAGACAGAGGUCUGAAAAUAGGCAAUAAUCAGUUCACCCUGCUCCUCAUUUGGAAGGGUGCUGAGUUUGGAUGCAGUUUCACUGCUUUUGGAGUGACAUGGAGCUGAGAUGUCAGUAAAACUUAGACUACCUGGACCAAGGCACUGGGAGCUACGUUGAGGUCUCACAUGGGGCUCAUCCAUUUCUUAUCCUCAUUCAAUAUCUGCUCAAAAAGCAUGGUACCAGGCUCCUGGUGUUCUGGGACCCCAGCCUUCCCAAGCCAUGUGGGUACUGAUGCUCCCUGUCUGUGACACAGACACAGGCGUUUCACCACUUUCAUACCGAUUAACUCCUCCUUAAGAAACUCACGUCUCCACGGUGCCUGCCAAAAUGGAAACAGACAGAUAAUACACUGUGUCAUUAACACAUCCCUGUCUAUUUAAAACUCUCUGGAGAAGCAAGCAGAUGAGUCUUGGAGUUAGCUCAGCAUUGGGGAUUAUUGUUUGGCUAAUUAUAAGCAGCACUGUCAGACUCAAGCAGAUACUAAGGGACAUAACCACCCUGUCUGCCCUAAAGAUUGAGGUGUGACUGUUGAAAGCCACCAGCACAACUCUCAAGACAUCUGUAGAUCAGCACUCGGGAGGCCGAGGCAGGAGGAAUUGAAAGACAGAGCGUGCUUUGUAGAGAAACUCUGUCUCAAAAAAACCAAAAACCGCACAAAAACUUAGAGGGGCCAUGACUCCCUAGCAACCAGCAAUCCCCACCCCUCCACCCCCUACCACAGUCUCGUGUCCCAUAUUUGCAUAUUAUGUAGAUUUGAGGUUGAACCUGUUUGGUAAUAAAAUAUAAGAGUGAAAGUUUCAAAGAUAGAUCACCAAUGGCUUUGCAAUUUCCACAUUUGAGUUUUGGGUGGCUAACUGGGGGUAACUAGAUGGCCCUUCAAAGAGGCCCAUGUUGUCAAGAGCUGAAACCCCAGACAAGCACCAGUUCCAGUCUGCCAGUGUCACAUGACUUUUCCUGGGAAGCCCACGACAAGCAUCUUUUCACCCCAAAUAGUGCAGUGACAAAAGACCAAAAGAAAAGGUUCUAGCUUAGGUUCUUUGGAGUUGUUUAGAGUUAACUCAAGAGACACAGGUAAAGAGCUAGUUACAGGAGCGUGGGUUAUUCUACAGUAGCUGCAUCACCAAAAAGUUCAUUCUGCGUGCCUGGGUGAUGAGCCAGGAAAGCUGCAAAUCCCUAUAAGUUGCCUCCCCAGCUCCCAGACUGCUCUGCCAAUGUGACCUGUCUCCCACCCGGGAUUUAUGAGUUUUGUCAUUUUCUGAGCUUCCUGAGUCUCCAGGCCUUUUUUCCCACAGUUAGGAAGGGCAUGCCCAACCAGGCUUUAGCUCCUCCAGCCUGUCUACCUUCAAAGCUCCAUCUUUUCCCUCCACUGUGCUGAACCUCCCUGGAGAUAACACAGGACUGUCUCCAGCUCUGUGGCUGGGUAAACAGCCUAUCACCCAGGCACAUUUUCUCUGCUGCAAAGUCACCCCUUCUAAGGUCCCAGAUAUUUCUAAUACCCUUUAGCACCACGCUGUCUCACUAUCAAUAACAUCUGCC